UAUGUAUACGGAUAGGAUUCGAUUAUUUUAAAACAUUUUUUUCCGUUAAAUUAUUGUAAAUUUGUGUAACUGAUGUAUAGUUAAGAUUCAAAAUUAAAUUUCAAUAAAAUUACUGUGAGGCGAUGAGACCGUUUGGACACCAAAAAGAAAUAUUAUUCAACUUCAACUGCGAGUUCAACACUGCAAGAUGAGACAAACACAGUUUAUAUGUAAAACGUAUAAGUAAACAACAAUGUGAGUGUGACAUUUUAUUUUACAAUAUAUUAUUUUAAAUUCAUAAAA